rnacentral:lncRNA from 1 species
UCCAAGAUCUGAGCUCUAACUUCAUCCCCUUUGACGAUGAUGAAGAGGAGGUGGAAGAAGAGGAAGAGACAUAUGAUGACAUUGAACGAGCUACCACACCACCACCACCACGUCCUGGGCCAGCAUCUGCUCCAGUUACAACCCCGAGUCUGGGACAAACCCCCCAAAGCAGCCGCAAGGAAUGGAAGGACCAAGCAGAGGCUCAGGAAGAUGAAGAAGAGGAUGAAGAGGACAUUUAUGAAGUGCUUCCAGAUGAUGAAAAUACUGACAAUGCUGAAGAGUGGAGUGAAAAGCCUGGGUCUUCAGAUUAUGCAAAUUAUUACCAAGGCUUGUGGGAUUGUGAAGCUGAUAGACC